rnacentral:rRNA from 1 species
AUUGAACGCUGGCGGCAGGCCUAACACAUGCAAGUCGAGCGGGGUUUUCGGACCUAGCGGCGGACGGGUGAGUAAUGCGUAGGAAGCUGCCCGAUAGAGGGGGAUACCAGUUGGAAACGACUGUUAAUACCGCAUAAUGUCUACGGACCAAAGUGUGGGACCUUCGGGCCACAUGCUAUCGGAUGCGCCUACGUGGGAUUAGCUAGUUGGUGAGGUAAUGGCUCACCAAGGCGACGAUCUCUAGCUGGUUUGAGAGGAUGAUCAGCCACACUGGAACUGAGACACGGGCCAGACGCCUACGGGAGGCAGCAGUGGGGAAUAUUGGACAAUGGGCGCAAGACUGAUCCAGCCAUGCCGCGUGUGUGAAGAAGGCCUUCGGGUUGUAAAGCACUUUCAGCGAGGAGGAAGGGUGGUGUGUUAAUAGCACAUCAUUUUGACGUUACUCGCAGAAGAAGCACCGGCUAACUCUGUGCCAGCCGCCGCAGUAACAC